ensembl:lncRNA
CAAGGCCAGACAAUCCUCUAAAAUUCUUAUUUGACAGUGGAAGUGGAGCAGUUUUUUACUGUGCAUCUUGUCGGUAUGCAGAAGGAGCACAGCCAUCUCAUUCAUUACACGUACGAUGCGUCCAGUCAGACGUACAGGCGGCCGGGACGCUUUCAGACAAAACGGGCCAAACGUCGGCCGUGUGACAGCUGGAUGGGCCCCGGAGCCGUAGUCACUUCUCCCUCCGCUUCAAGCUGCUGCCGCCGGAUUAUCAGCGGCUGGGUUCCAUGUCGGCCGACCACAGGUUUUGAUAAGCAGCAUCGGCGGAAGAGAAAAAGUCAAAGGCGAGGAUGGGAAGUGACUCAUCCGCCUGUGUGCAACUGGUCAUUUACGAGGCAUGUGAGGGGCCCCCGGUGCCCGAGGUUGCUGACUGGCACUCUCUGGGGAUUCUGCAUCGGGCCUUUUUAAGGACACAUUUUGAUGCACUCGGUUACUCUGUGUAGUAUGUUGAGACCACUUAGAAAUGAAAAACACUGGCAAUGUAAAACCCAGAAAAGAGUUUUUUCCCCCUUCACAGAUCAACUCAAAUCAAAUAAAUAAACCUUGGGUUUCAACUGCAAGGUAACAAGGUGGUUAAGACUGAAAUUUCACAGAAAUAAUUUAAAUUCUCUUCACUGUGGAACAUCAAACAAGCCAACAGCAUCUCUCGAAUCCAAAAUAUAUAUUUUACAGUGCAUGUUAGAAAUGUUAACAUAAAAACAUGCGUCAUAAGACGAGAAGUGCGUUCAGUCCUUUUAACGAGCGUGUAUAUCUGUCACCGGUCCUUGAUGACGGGUCCGGGCAUCACUACCUGUUUAGUAUAUUCUAGUGCUGCGCCGGUGUUGCUGUAGCUGUGUGGGACGCGUAGCAUUUGUUGUCCUGCACGGUAUCUGCGGCACCCGUCCAGUUUGCCCUACUUCUGUGAUUAUGAUGACGAUACAAGUGUUCUCUGUUCUUUGUUUUAAAGUAUGCACACCUUAAAGUAUAUUUUAGAAUAAACAAGCUUGAUGGACAAAGACAUGAAUCUUGCAAUAGGAAAUUUGACCUUUUUAGACUCAUUGGCCUCUGUAUAUAACAAGCUCUGCUCCAGAACCGUUAUUUGCACGGACCAACCAUCCGUGUCUGAGAGCGCAGCCUUGUGCGCUAGGAAUAGAGAAGCCUUGUGAACAUUAAUGGCCGGGGAACAGUUAUGAAAAUAUUCCUUUCCUGCUGCCCCCAGUCAAAGAGAGGGCACAGGGCUGACUUGUUUUCGUCCGUUUUAACUCCCCCAGGUUAAAAUUCGAUGUAUAUUUAGGAGGAGAUUGAGCUAGAACAGGAGGAGAAGAAAAGCACGAAGAGGCUGUCUCUGUUAUUGGAGACAUCUGACUCAAUGUUCUCCAAAUGCCUGGACAUAUUUUAGCCAUAUUUAGCCACACUCAUGGUAAAUUUCACUUACGGUUAUUUAGAUACCAUCUUAAGUGACUAUUAGUAACAUUAAGCUUGAGAAAUAACCAUAUGACCCUCAUUUUGUUCUUUUAUGUGUUGCCGUGCUGCAGUGAGGCCCGAUGGACAGACGUGCGUUAUUUUAGUACCGCGGUUUGUGGUUAAAUGCGGACAUAAGCAUAUAUUAAUAAAACGCUUAGCACUACUUUGGUUACUGACCUGUGUAAAAAUCUUCUCAGAAUAAUAAAAAUAACAAAUCUCUUUAAUGUUUGUCAUGACAACUCCAAAUUAUGAAUCCCACAACACGCCCCGAUGGUCUGUAAUUAUUGUUCAACCUAGAGCCAAAUUAACUCUGUGUUCCUCGGCCAGUGGUGUGUGAUACGCUAUGAACAACCCGGAUGACUCUUCUAUUCUCGAGCUUCAAAGUGGGCAGAAAGGAGACAACGGGAGCCCACGAUGAUGAUUUUUCUCCACCAUCAUUUCCUCCGUGUAAAAAUGGAUACCCGCUGUCUGCUUCCGGUGGUCACGCGGGGUUGUGCGCUGUGCAAACAUUUUUCUCCGUUGGCUCCUUUUAUUUGUGGCAGCCGUGCGGCGGGGGUCACAUGGUUGGUGCUCACACGGCACUUGUUGCACAACCCGGUCUCACAGCAAAACGUGUAAUAGCUACGUUGUGCACCAACGUGGUAUUGUCACGCUUUGUUCCCCCAAAGCGUGACAAUACCACAUUUUAUUUGCAACGAGGUCACGUGACUCUCAACUGUCAGUCUAUUAUCUGUGAAAAACACAAUAUUUUAAGAAAGCAGCAGCAUUUGUAUGCAUUUCGAUGGCAUUUCUAGCAAGAAGUAUCAGUUAUAUUUUAUAUGUAGAAGACCUUCCGUUUAUUAGUUUCUAGUGACGCAGAAGGCAAUGUAAAUGAAUGGGCCAAAAUAAGACGUAGUAUUGUCACGAUUUUGGGGGAGAAAGACGUGACAAUACCACGUUGGUCCACAACGUAGUUAUUACACUUUUUGUGCGGUGAGACUGGGUUGCGUUGCGUCAAAGGCCUCUGAAAAAUGCAUUACAGUGUUGAGGCUGGAAACUAUAAUCAAUAAUUGGUAAAUGCAUCGGCACCACAUCUUACCGCAAAUGACGACGCUCUCUGUUGAUGCUUAAUUUUUCAACAUUAGCCCCCCCCCCCCCCCCAUCUUCCUCUUCUCCCUCUUUUUUAGCACUAAACUGUAAUGGCUGUUUUAUUGUGACUAAUGGUGGCACUAGAACCGCACUUACUUUGUACUUGGUUCAAAGCCAACAGUGUGGGACAAAUGGAGCGACCCAUCCAGUAGUUAAAAAAUAAAAAGUAAAAAAUUGAAGACCUCUUCGCUCUGGCUCAGUGCUGACACACAAAAGGAAGCAUUGAUAUGAGGAAAAGAGC